rnacentral:tRNA from 1 species
CCCGGGGUGGAUCAGGGGCGGCGGCCCCCGCCUGAUGGGCGGGGUGGCGGAGGCGCCGGCUCCGCCGGUUCCGGCCAGGGGCCGGGUCC